CGCUAAGAAGAUAGCUAAGCGAUUCCAAGCCUGGAGCCCUGUAAGCAAACUGAGAAACGUGGCCACAAGCUCUACCUCACAGACAAGUUUGACUCUUCUUCAUUCAGGGGAGUUUUAUUUUCUCUGUGUCGUAGUUCACUUCAAGUUAUCUAAGGUCUUUUAUUUCCUCAAUUUUGGUAACCAAAUGAGAUUAGGGUUAUACCCAAUUGUAGUAGAUCGAACCUUUUUGAGAUCAGCAAGUCAACAUAACCUUUAAUUUGGGCUUUAUUAGUUAGUUCUGAGUCUGUGAGAUUAGGUCUCCCAUCCCAUCCCGAGUUAGUUAUGUAUACUUUUGAAGUUCCUUAGUCGAAGAGGAAGAAACUUGAGGAGGGCCAGGUUUAAGGUUAUGUAGACUGGCAGAGGAAAAAGUUAGACUCUUUCCACUGAGGAUACUGUGGGAAUACAUUUAGACAAGAAUAAAUUUUGCAUGAGUGUCAAAUGCUUCUGAUCAAUUAAAACCCAUCAUUUUUUUUCUUAUUGGGUUCUAGGAGUCAAAAUUUUAAGCUCUACUGUCUAAGAAGCUUGAUGCACCUACCACAUCUCUUUUUCCACCUUGCCAUUAUAUAAAUAGAAUAUUUUGCUGCAUUUUCUGAAGUAAUCCAUUUUCUUGAUAUAGUGGCUACAGAGAAGGAACAAAAAGUUAAGAGCUUACUCCAGCUGACCUGUGUUACCCACCCAAACACAGUGACCUCUUGCUUUUAUCAACUCAUUGGCUUAAAUGGCAAGCUCAAAGGAGCAAAGAAUAUCCAUGCAACAGUACUCGUGUACUGAUGGUCAUGCCAGCACUGCUUCUGUGGAGAAUUGCCACACACCCAGUCUAUUGAAAUAACGGCAACCAGUUUAUUAACACAGUAUGAGACAGCUGGGAAGCAGGGCUUGGUCAGACACCUUGUUCAAAUGGACCCAAGUCAUAUUCUAAUUCUUUAAUGCGACUCGAGCUAGACCUGCUGGAGUUUUUCUCCAGGAUUUAGGAAUUGUACUGAAAAAUCACAGUCUUGCUUGGUGUGGUUCAAGCUCCAAAAUAUAAAACCGGAUUAUCAGCAGUAGCCAUGUUUCUGUCAUUUGAAGGAAGCCAAUCUGCUGUGGCAAAAGAGGAAAGAGAAAAGAAAAAAACAAAAGGAAGCCCCUAUUCAGGGAGACUGGAAAGAAGAAAGGGAAGAGAAUCUGGUGCUCAGAUUAUUAUUCUACCACAGGAUUUCUUUAAACUCAGUUACAUAUAGACCACUUUUGAAUAUUUUCCCCUGAUUUUAAUUCUCUGAGAUACCCUGUAACAUCUCCAGUAAAAUUUUACUUAAAUACAAUUGAACUAUGUUGACUACUUAUAGCCCAGAGUCCUGGAUCCAGAAAGUAUGCCUUAAUGGUCCCAAUAGCCAACAUGGCUUCUGCAGGCCUUCUGUGCCAUGUCCUCUGAGGAAGAAUUAAAAAAAAAUCUGUCAAGAUUGUCCCUUGGGCCAACAGGAAGAGUUGCAAACAAAAUGUGGGAAGGAGAAUGUGAGGACGUCCCAAGCUGAUGCUGUCUCUCUGGCUUGAUUUGGUAGUUGGUUGAAGUCUCUUUUUGCAAAACAGGAUGCACAGAUUUAAAAACUUCAAGAGGGAAUGACUUAUUUGGUGAAAGGUAUUUUUCUACCUUUGUCUAGAACUAUGUGCACUGUGCAUUUCAUGUGCUUCUGGCAUGUUGUAUGAGUUUAGUUUGCUAUGUUUCAGAGCAAAAUUAGGGAAGUAAAGAGAUUGGUGAUGUCCAUGUCAACAUGGUUUGUAUUAUCUACCUCUUGAGAGGCAGCUAGCUGCCUUCGGUAUAUGUGCUGGAUGAAUGGAGAGUGAAUGAAUGGAGAGUGAGAAUGCACAUGUUGAUGAAGCCUUGCUGGCAGUUCCUCCCCGGAUAAGACAGCUAAUGGGUCAGUCUGCUUUUAAGAUUGAACCUGCAUCAAGCCAAAUAGAAAAAUCUUUAGAUGAGGCUUAAGAAUAACUACAAGACAUUUCAUAAAAGUGUGCUAUAAACUUUGGGGCUGGAGAUAUGGCUCAAUGGUUAAGAGCUGUUGUUGCUCUUGUAGAAGACCAGAGUUUGGUUCCCAGUACCAUGUCAGGAAGCUUACAAACACCUGUAACUUCAGCACCAAGGAAUCUGAUGCCCUCUUCUGGCCACUUUGGGUACAUGUACUCAUGUGCUCAUACCAUCAUGCAGACAACCCCACUCCCAUCCCCAUAACCCUCCACAAACACACAAUUUACUUUUUAAAAUUUAAACAUGUACCCCAUCCCAUAGGCCCCAUAUUCUGGCCCACAACUCUGGCAGCUUUGCCAGAUACAUUGAACUUGAUAGAAGAGAAAAUGGGGAAUACUUGAAUACAUUGGCACAGGAGACAACUUCCUGAAUAGAAGAUCAAUUGUGCAGACACUAAGCUCAACGAUUAAUAAAUGGGACCUCAUGAAUCUGAAAAGCUUCUGUGAGGCAAAGGACAUUGCCAAGAGGACAAAACAGCAGCCUAGAGAAUGGGAAAAGAACUUCAUCAACCCCAUAUCUGACAGAGGGCCAAUUGCCAAAAUAUAUGAAGAACUCAAGAAACUAGACAUCAGCAAACUAAAUAAUCCAAUUAAAAAAUGGGGUACAGAUCUAAACAGAGAAUUCUCAAACAGAGGAAUCUCAAAUGGCUGAGAAACACUUAAAGAAUUGUUUAACAUCCUUAGUCAUCAGGCAAAUGCAAAUAAAAAUGACUCAGAGAUUCCACCUUG